GGGGGUGAACAGGUUCGACAGGGGAUCAGGCAUACAAGGGAGCAUGCAGAGGUUCGUCAGGUUCCUCUUAAAUCAACGUGGCAAACUACAAAUGCUGAAAAACUCAGCUGGAACGAAAGAGCGGUCGGGCCGAUCUCGGCUCCCGUGUUCGUUCCUCUCGCUGUCUAAGGACUAGCGACGUCACGGGGCUAACGCCCGCUAGGUUCCGCUGACGACAUUAGCGGGAUGCUCUUCCGGCAUGUCCGUUUUGCCGGGGGAAAAGACCUAAACGGAUCGUUCCUCAAGUUCCUGUCCGCAUGGGUUUGGGGAAUUAAACGAAAUGGGGACUGAGCAUGGAGAACCUUUGGUGACGGAUCUUUUGGACGAGGGUGCAAUUCCCUCCACCUCCACCA
rnacentral:tmRNA from 1 species